CAGUCAGUGCAGUUACAAAUUGUUGCUUCUCCCUAUCAGUGAAAUAAGAAAAUUCUGGCCAUAUAAAGGCGAAACGAACAUAUACAAACAAAUUCUAAUUAAAAAAAAAAACUAUUAGACCAAUAAGAAAAACCAAGAAACAAGUGCAAAUAUAACAAAUUUGAAAUUAAAUUAAAAUAAAAACGAGAAUUGAUUGUGCCUGGCAAGACAAUAGGAGGAAUGGACUUUAAAGAUCUAUAGCGUAUCUCAAUAGAGCGAAUAACGUGCAAUAUAAAGAAAAGGCAAAAAAAGAAGCGGAAGAAUAUUCUCCAAAUAAAGUUGACAUUGAAAACAUUUUUUUUUAUAGUAACGAAACGAAAGUGAAUUUUAAUUAAAUAAACAAAGAGAAGAAAUAAAAACAAGACAUUCGUCAAUUUGUGCGGUUUUGUGUGUAAAGGAAUUUCUUCGCAUAUAUUUUGUGUGUGCGAACAAUCUAAAAGAAAAGAACAAGAAAAAAAAAACGUAAAAUAAACUACGAAUCACAGUGCAAAAAAGGCAGGCGAACUGAUAAAAUUGCACACAAGAUAAGUUGGAGAAAAAAAGAAAGAGAAAUACAAAAGCGUAGGUAAUUUGGGUAUUUUCCUUCCAUCUGUUGCUUUCCUUAAAAUUAUUUUUUUGACAAAAAUUGAUUGCCGGAAUUAUUUUCGCUAAAAAUAAGGGUCUCUGUUCGUACUCCUCCUUGCGUUCCAUACCAAAAGUAAACCAACAACCAAAAACAAAAAAAUAUUUAAUCAAAAUUUGAAAUCAUAAACAAAUCCGGCCAUCACAGAAACGCCAAGCAGGCAAUCAAGCUAUCAUUGGGUAUCGAAGUCAUUGGUGGCGGCAAUCCAACACAGAGCUGGGAGGCACAAAAAGAGACGAGUACGCACGAACCAACCACCCACCAACCACCACCUCACAUUAUAACCACCAUCAACAACAACAGCAAAUAAAAAAACAACACCUCAGAAAAAAAUCAACAACAACCACUAGCACCCACCAUCCAUUAACCAAUCCAUCCAUGUUCUAAUUGGCAAACAAGUUAAAAGAGAAAAAAAAAAAACAAGCCCCGACUGUCAUAUCCGAAUCCCAAAAGCAACAACCAUCAUCCAACAGAACAGGACAGAACAGAUCAUCAACGAAUAUUUCUGGUGGUCAGUUAACUAACCACAAAUAGACUACGACUUUCCAUCUCAAUGUUCCUCUUUGGUUUCGACACAUAAAAUAUGCGGAUGUAACGAAGUUAUCAUUCCAAGCGUGCGUACGUGUGUGUGUGCGCCACAAAUGUUACAGAGGAGCGAAGGAUCAUCAAUUGACUCCUUAAAUCUGGGUUAUAAUUAGACGACAUACAUUAAAAAAUAUAUAUAUAAAAGAAAUCUGAAGGAUAAUUAAUAGGAGAGACAAGUAACCUCAUACUCCCAUAAACAUUUGUUGUAGUGGUGAUUGAGGGAGGAGGAGGAGUCAUAAAGCCUGACGCCUAUUGUGACAACAAGUUUCUAUUUUGUGUACAUUGUUUCUGCAACGUCUAAGCGACGUUUCACAAUUUCCCCACCAUGAAUCUGUGGAAACGCAUAGCAUGCAAUCCGGAAAUCAAGCAAUCCAUGAUACAGUACUACGACGAAAAGGGCUUGGCCGAUAUACGCGUCUAUCUGGCACCAUGGAUUGAGGAAAGGAUAAUGUCCGAACUCAUCCACAACACAACAUCAACGGAACUGUACGAACGUGAUGCCCAUCAGUUCUAUGAGGAUCUAAAACAGAAACUCAUUCCGCUCAGCAACGAUAAUUUAAUCAAAUUUAAACUUGCCGAAAUUUGCACUAGCAUCACUCAAACACCAGCCGUGGAGUUGUAUACGCACAUACGUACCGGCGUCCAACGUGAAAUACAGCUGUUGGACCAAAUGCCUCAGUAUUCGUAUGUGGGCGGUGUGCCGGUCAAUGGUACGGCUGUGGGCACACCCGGCAUGUUAGGCGGUGGCGGCACCAUUCCCGGCAUGCACACACCCACCAUGGUCACAAGCGGUAAUGGUGGUGGUGGCGGCACCUAUCCCGGCGAUACCCUAUAUGCGGCUCACAGUUCCAUACCCAAGUUGGGCAUGUGUAUCAAUACGAUUUUUGCCGAAAUACAACAAUUUGCCCGCAACUAUGAGGGAUUCCACAACAGUUUCACCAGCUAUAAUCAGCGUAAACAACACAUGACCCAACAGGAAAUUCAGCUGCAUGAUUUGCAGUUGCAGGAACAAUGCCGCAUUUUGGCCAGCACUCGUAGCAGCAUUUUACAGGACAUCAAGCGGGUCAUCUUCGAUUAUGACUCCAUACAGGAGACGGUCAUAAAUGAGUUGAAAAAUUGGCAACGUAACCAGGCGCUGGCCGGUAAUGGGGCACCAUUCCGCGACAAUUUGGAUGACAUACAACGCUGCAUUGAGCUGCUGGUCGAGAUGGUGGGCAAGAUAUUGGAUAAUGUCAAUACCAUGAAUCAAAUACGUUUGGAUAACAACGAUGAAAUAAGUGACAUAAUUGCCCAUGUACGACAGUCGCAGCAGCUGCUGGUGCUGUCAUCGUUCAUUGUUGAGAAACAACCGCCACAGGUUAUGAAAACCAAUACCAGAUUUGCUGCCGGUGUACGAUGGUUGAUUGGACCACAAUUGGGCAUCAGUGUUAAUGGUCCUCAAGUGGAGUGCAUAAUUCUAUCAGAGGCUCAGGCUCAACGUCAUUCCGCACAGCGAACAAUGCCUGACUCAUCCAGCAGCACACCAGCCUCAUCCGGUGAAAUUGUGAACAAUGUUGGCAACAUGGAAUACAAUAACCAGACGCGUGUAUUUUCUGCCAGUUUCAGAACAAUGCAAUUGAAGAAAAUAAAACGUGCCGAGAAAAAGGGCACCGAAAGUGUCAUGGACGAGAAGUUUGCUUUAUUAUUUUACACAUCAGUCGUAGUCAAUGAUUAUAGAAUUAGGGUCUGGACAUUGUCAUUGCCGGUUGUGGUCAUUGUCCACGGCAAUCAGGAGCCACAGUCAUGGGCCACCAUCACUUGGGAUAAUGCCUUUUCGGAUAUUGUACGUGAACCUUUCCAAGUGCCCGAACGUGUGGCGUGGACCCAACUCGCCAUGGCAUUGAAUACCAAAUUUGAGUCGUCAACUGGUCGUGCCCUAACCGAAGAUAACUUGAAUUUUUUGCAUGAAAAACUCUUCCGCCGCAACAUCAUCAAUGGCGAGGAAGACUACAUAACCUGGGCCCAAUUCUGUAAGGAACCCCUGCCCGAUCGUUCGUUUACAUUUUGGGACUGGUUCUUUGCCAUUAUGAAACUAACCAAAGAUCAUUUAUUAAGUUUAUGGAAAGCUGGUCUCAUUGUCGGUUUCAUUAAUAAAGGUAAAGCCGAACGGACACUCAAAGAGCUGGUGGGUGGUACAUUUUUGUUACGUUUCUCGGACAGUGAAUUGGGUGGCAUAACCGUGGGUUUCGUCAACGAUCAAAAUGUUGUUUUAAUGCUGUCACCAUGGACUGCACGUGAUCUGAAUAUACGCGGCCUAGCCGAUCGUAUACACGAUUUAGAUGUUUUACGCUAUAUUUAUCCCACAAAUCGCUUGCGAGAUGAAGCUUUUCAAGAAUUUUAUACACAACGAAUGGAUGAAAACACCCGUCGUGAUGGUUAUGUUACAAACACCAUACGAGCUCAUGUACCGGCCAUUGAAAAUAACUUUGGUGGUGUUACACCCCAGCACAAUAUGCAAUCGCCCCAUCCACAAGAUAUACAAAUGGGAAAUGAUGCAACCAGCCUAGGUCUUAUGGAUGUUCUCUAUUCAACGCCGGAUGAAAUUAACUGGGACAUGAUCGCGUAGUCUAAUUUCUUACACAGCGCCCCAACAUAUCCACACCCACACCCCCAAACAAAAACAACAAAACAUAGAACCCCAAAAGUCUGAUUGUUGCCUAAUUGAAAUUGAAACAACAACAAAACAAAAAAUGUGAAAUUGUUAAUUAUAAUUACGAUAUUCUUUUAAUUUUUUUUCUUUUCUAAAAUUAUGUUUUUUUUUUAAUUAAUUAAAAUUUGAUUUUCUGUUUCUUCUCUGGAUUAAUAAUUUUUCUAAACUUGUAAUAAAACACAACAUCACAAGUCUAAAAUAUUAAAAAAGAAAACAAAACAAGUGCCUUUCUUCUUCCUGUUAUCCACAACAUCUUCCUCUACUUUUGCGAAACUUCUACAACUGACUUGUAGCGUCGUUAUCUUCUAAUAACCAAAAAAAGUGACAACAUAAAUUUUACGGACUUCGAGUCAAUACUUUAUUGAACGAAAACAAAAAUAACAACUAAAAACCAUUACUUAUUAAUUAUUACUAUAUACAUAUACCUAUAUAUAUACACAUACACAUAAUUUUUAUAGAAAAAAAAAUGAAACGAUAUUUUUUGUUUUGUUAAACAUUGAAAAAAAAAACAUGAAAGAGAGAAACAAAAGAAAUUAUUUUUUAAAAUAAAGUAGAGGAACACAAAACAAGUUUUAGAAAAAAAAAAACAAAAGAAACGGAAAUGUGAAAAUAUUUUAGAACGUAAAUGUAUUUUGAAUACAACAGCAUUUUUAUGUCAUAUAUAAAUAAAUAAAUAUUUUACAAAUAAAGAAAACAAAAAUCUAAAGUGGAAAUAUACGCAACUAUUUCAUAUACAACAACUGAGAAGAAAAAAAGAAAACAACAACAAAGUAACCAUAUUAAAAUUAAUAAAUAGAUGUCUGUGCACUGUGAAAAAAAAACUAAACUUUGAGGUUAAGUAAUAACAUAACACAAACACAUACAUAUAAUAAAUAAACAAAAUAAGAAAGGAACUUUAACGAAGUCAUACAAGUCAAGUCAAUACAAAUUUAAAUGUCAAAGAAAUAAUUAUUACUAUUUUUAACAAAAAGAAAAAAAAAUAAAAACAAAACAUUCAAAUAAAAAA